rnacentral:rRNA from 1 species
AUUGAACGCUGGCGGCAGGCCUAACACAUGCAAGUCGAGCGGAUGAAGAGAGCUUGCUCUCUGAUUUAGCGGCGGACGGGUGAGUAAUGCCUAGGAAUCUGCCUGGUAGUGGGGGAUAACGUUCCGAAAGGAACGCUAAUACCGCGUACGUCCUACGGGAGAAAGCAGGGGACCUUCGGGCCUUGCGCUAUCAGAUGAGCCUAGGUCGGAUUAGCUAGUUGGUGGGGUAAUGGCUCACCAAGGCGACGAUCCGUAACUGGUCUGAGAGGAUGAUCAGUCACACUGGAACUGAGACACGGUCCAGACUCCUACGGGAGGCAGCAGUGGGGAAUAUUGGACAAUGGGCGAAAGCCUGAUCCAGCCAUGCCGCGUGUGUGAAGAAGGUCUUCGGAUUGUAAAGCACUUUAAGUUGGGAGGAAGGGCAGUAAGUUAAUACCUUGCUGUUUUGACGUUACCGACAGAAUAAGCACCGGCUAACUUCGUGCCAGCCGCCGCGGUAA